UUCGAAUGUAUGAAAUUUUCCCCAUUUGAAUAUAUUUUUAGUCGGGGAAGACAAAAUUCGGGAAUGACUGGGGCUCAAAUGAGGAAAAUUUCAUACAUUCGAAGGGUUUAAAGAUGGAUGACAAAAUUCAGCACAAUUAAGCUGUUGCUUUUUUGCUGGCAAAUCUCUGCAAAGCUGUUGGUAGUGCAUUUUCCUUCUCGCUAAUUUUCGGCUUCUUAGCCAACUUUUCAUCCUCUUUCAGUUGUCUCUCCAACAAAGGUCUCUUCACUCUCUCAAUAAGCUCCUUUCUCUUCUUUGCUCUCUUACUCGCCUUAUUCCUCCCCUUUGUUUUGUUCUUGAAAGCAGUGUCCUUCACAGCUUCAACAGCAGCUUCCAUCUCAGCUGCUAUUUCUUGCUUUGUUUGUUUCUCUUUCUUGUUGACUGGCCUCAUUGUACCAAUCUUUGAAGGAUUCAGCAUGAUUGUCUCAGAUGGGAGCUUGUCAAGAAGAGAUCGAACUUCCUUCUCUCUCCUCUGCUUAGAUGUUUCAUAUGGGUUUGCUACCCAGGUGUCAAAGUUGGGUUCCCCAGACCCUGGGAUAAGAAUUGAAGACCAUCCCAUUGAGUGCCCUAGGACUAGAACAUCUUCAUAUGGUCUGAACAACACUUUGCCUAUCUGGUAACCUUUCACCAUAGAAUGGCCCAUAUAUCUGCUAUAAUGCUGUGAUUCUGAGAGAUCUCCAAAAAUCUGAACGAAUGAUCCAUUUCCAGCAGCUAGCAAUCCCUUUUGACUGAAAUCCAAGGCCCUUGCAUGGCCUGGUAUGGUUUGGAGAACCUCAAACUUCCUCACGUCCCAUAUCUUAAUUUUCCUUUCCUUGCCAGACGUAGCCAUGAGAUGGCCAUUAGGGUGGAAUGCCAUCGCUGAGACAGGACCAGGAUGACACAACAUUUUGACAAGCGGAGCUGCACUGGUGGGUUUCCACAUGCUCACUGUACCUCCUGAAUGACCCAAAGCCACAACCCCAUUGAAGGGAUUAACCUGCAUCACAUCAGAACGACCUAAACCCGUUCGUAUAUUACCAAUCAUCUCACCCAUUGUGACGUCUUGAUAGUGGAGCUGCCCAAACUUGUUUAUUGAUGCCAAGAGAAAAUGGCUUUUCAGAAACUGAAGCCUCAACACUGAACCGUGNNUGUUCCUUUAAACAGUGAAGUUCAAUGCCAUCCCUGUUAUAUAUGUAAGGGUACUUUUUCUGGGCAGCAGCAAAGAAAAGCUCAUUGUGCAGAAACACAAUAUCACGCACUGUUUCCCUGACCUGCAUCUCUUUAAUGAGGCUCAUGUUUUUCAUGUCUAAAACUGCCAGGUGGCCCUUGCGCCCAGCAACAGCCAUGUAUCGCCCACUUGAGUUGAAAUCCAAAGUGUAAGGACCAAGAUCUGGUAUAAUUAUAUCAUGCUGAUUCUUUAAGCUUGAGAUAUUAAUUUCUGAACUAAUUGAAUGCUGAUUGAUCCUCCAUGGCUUCUCAAUACCUUCAACCUCAAGAUAGCCUCCCUCACUUGGCAUAAGCCACUCCUCUGCCUUGGCAGCAGCUUUUGCAGAUAUUCCAUAUAAUUCUUCUCUAACAGAAAGUUGACUUUUCAGUUUUUUGUCUUUUAAAACCUCCAAAUUAGUACCUUCUCCUCUAAGGUACUUCUUUAACUUAGGAUCCAACUCAUUCGAUAACUCCUGCUCAAUGGGAGGCAAAAUCUGUCCGGGAUCAGCAUUAUCUUGCUUGACACCCAUCUGGGCACUGAAAUUUAUACGCUGGAUCUGAAAUCGCUAUGUAGAGAGAGAGCGACGAACCCGAAGCUACAAUCAAGGCAACGGCUUAAUGGCCGCACCUUGGAACCAGGAGAGCACGAAAAUACCAAGAAGUUUACCCAAGUGCCUCUUGACAGCGGAACCGAAACCGCAGGAAAGUUUAACAGUAGAACUAUAAGUUUAAGAAUCGGAACUGAGACUGUCGCUGGCAAGGGAUUCAAGCAAGCCAAUUUCAAUGGCGGGGAAUAGCUUCGCGAGUUUGCGCGGUGGAAGCUUGCUGGCUAUAGAGCUAAGGC
rnacentral:misc_RNA from 1 species